UGGGGAAUUUUGGACAAUGGGCGAAAGCCUGAUCCAGCAAUGCCGCGUGUGUGAAGAAGGCCUUCGGGUUGUAAAGCACUUUUGUCCGGAAAGAAAUCCUUGGCUCUAAUACAGUCGGGGGAUGACGGUACCGGAAGAAUAAGCACCGGCUAACUACGUGCCAGCAGCCGCGGUAAUACGUAGGGUGCAAGCGUUAAUCGGAAUUACUGGGCGUAAAGCGUGCGCAGGCUGGUUUGCUAAGACCGAUGUGAAAUCCCCGGGCUCAACCUGGGAACUGCAUUGGUGACUGGCAGGCUAGAGUAUGGCAGAGGGGGGUAGAAUUCCACGUGUAGCAGUGAAAUGCGUAGAGAUGUGGAGGAAUACCGAUGGCGAAGGCAGCCCCCUGGGCCAAUACUGACGCUCAUGCACGAAAGCGUGGGGAGCAAACAGGAUUAGAUACCCUGGUAGUCCACGCCCUAAACGAUGUCAACUAGUUGUUGGGGAUUCAUUUCCUUAGUAACGUAGCUAACGCGUGAAGUUGACCGCCUGGGGAGUAC
rnacentral:rRNA from 1 species